rnacentral:misc_RNA from 1 species
AAAGUCUUUGAAUUGAGGUCUUCUCCGUUUGUUAACAAUGAAUGCAGUUGCUAGGUACCUCAAAAGAUGGGGAGCAUUGGUUUGAAUGGCAUUGAGAUACUUGUCCUGAUUAAACAGGUCAAUAAUCUGUGUUCUUCCAUUGUCAUGGUUGAAAAAGAUGAAAAGACUCCAAUGCAUCAACCAUACUCGACUUUGCAUCUGAUUCAAUAGUGAUGAGAAACUCUUUGAAUCAAUUAUUUCUUUCAACCUAUUAAGUUCUUCAAGAGCAAUAUCCCAGUUUUGCAUCAAUAUCUCAGCUGCCAACUUCCCCCACAGUGCACUCAGACUCCUUUCACUGUUAGUGCACAAGGCCCCGUACUGGUACAGGUAGUCAGCUGCACCGGAGUAGUUUCCACAUUCAAACUGAAAUUUCGCAUACUGAUAAAGCGCCUCAAUCUGCUCUGGACCAAUCUGAUAACGUUCAUUAAGCAUCUGAAGAUUGUACUGUUUGUCCGAUCUCAACUCCUGCACGGCGUUAGCAUUCUGCAAAAACGCCACCAGCGGGGCAGCCCCCUCCUCCAGGGCCUUCAAUCUCGCGACAACUUCCGCUCUCCUAUCCACCAUAUCUUGAGGGACGUCUUCGGUGUGAUAGAGGCUCUUGUGGAUGUCCAUGGCGUAAUCGACCAUAUUGGUUUUGUUCAAAAGCUCGAUUUUGGACUUGAAGAUCUGCUCCUCUGGGUAUAGCUGCCGUUCUUGGAGAAACUCCAAGAGAGGGAACACCAGGUGCCUGUCCAGAUUCGGCGCGAUUCUCGGUGUCAGAUCGUAAGUAGCCAUAGUCG